rnacentral:lncRNA from 1 species
GCCAGACAUGGUGAUGCAUGCCUACACUACCAGUAACCCGGAGGCUCAAUCUCAAGUUGGAGGCCAGCCUGGGCAACCUAAUGAGAGACUGUCUCAAAAUGAAAAAUAAAAAGGUUUGGGGUUGUAGCUUGUUAUUAGAGUACCUCUGGGUUCAGUCCCUAGUACCAAAGGGGUUAGGGAACUCCUGAAGUUUGUUAUUAAAACUUAUAGAUUUUUAAAAUGAAACAAUGUAUAUAAAAGUACAGCUUUUAUGUUGUAGUCCUAUUGAACCACUUAAUAUCAAAUAUCUGUUCAUUUCUCAAUUUUUUAAAAAAAUAGAAUGAGAAGUUCUAAAUCUUCCGAAAGAAAAUGAGAUGCACAUAUAUAUUUAUGUGCAUACGUAUAUGCAUAUAAUUAUAUGUGCAUAUAUAUAAUUUAUCUUAUAUCUUUAUAAUUUUCUUACUGUGAUGAUCUUAACAGUGAUAUGUAAAUGUCCAGUUAAUGUAAAUGUCCAGUUACUUAGCUACAUUUUAGAGGAUGCCUUAAUAAAGCUUUAAAAGUCAUUACCUAUAUAUUUCUGAAAUAUACUACUGUUCUGAUAUUUUAACAAUAAUUACAUUCAGCUAUGAUGAUUAAAUGUGUGCAUUUAAAAAAUAUUUUUUAGUUGUAGUUGGACACAAUACCUUUUAUUUAUUUAUUUUUAUGUGGUGCUGAGGAUAGAACCCAGGGCAUGUGUUAGGCGAGCCCUCUACCACUGAGCCACACCCCCAGCCCUAAAUGUGUGCAUUUUUUUCCCCUUUUAUAGUACUAAGGAUUGAACCCCAAGCUUUCAUUAUGCUAGGGCAAGUACUCUACCACUAAACCACAAACUUGGCCUCCAAAUAUAUAUUUUUUUUGAUGAAUAACUCCAUGAACGCCUUUAACAGAUUAUUAAUUCAGGUAAAGAUGAAUAAAUGAUGUAAUUUACAAUUGUUUGAAAAUUUGAUUUGAAUUUCUGUUAAGUUCAUUAAUUAUUAUGUACUUGAUUUUUAUCUUGAGAAUGACUUUUUAAUGACAAAAUCAUUUUGGUUUAGAAAACUACUUUCAUGGUUGUAUGGGACAUUUUUAGACUAUUCUGCAAAUAUAGGGGAAGGGUUAUACAAUUUUCAGUAGCUGGUUUCUGUAUUAAACAUACUCUUCUUGGGUGUCCCGGGAUCAAACCUGGAAGCACUCUACAACUGAGCUAAAUCUCCCGUUAUUUUUAGUUUUUAUUUUUAGACACGGUCUCACUAUAUUGCCCAGACAGGCCUUGAACUUGUUAUCGUUUUGCUUCAGGCUCCCACAUUGCUAGGAUUACAGGUGUGCAUCACCAUGCCUGGCUUUAAACAUACUUUCUUUAAAGUAACACAUCUCAAUGAACUUUGCUUCUGAGCAUCUAGAUUCAUCAGAAAUCUAUAUAGCACUACACAAGAAAUACAUGCUUUUUUAAAAACCAUGAAUCCAGUUAGUUCUCUCUGAAAUAAAAACAUUUUGUAAUAAAUGCCGUGUCAAAUGUGUUUAUCUUAUAAUGGUCUUAUUUGUAACAUUAUGCAGAUUGUUGCUAGAAUGUGUUCAGAUUUUCAGAAGCUUGGGAUGUAUCUAAAGUAGACCCUUCCUAGUCAGGCAAAAGACACAGACAAUUCUGAAGGUGCAUGAGACUGAUUAUAAAUAGCACAUUUAAGGCAUCUUGCAAAAAUGAUUGACCUCCUUGUUGCAAAAUCCAAUGGAUAUGCUUUCAGUUUCAUUUUCCUUCAUCUCUUAGUGGUAUUCUGAGUACCAUUAUCUUUUCCUCAAAAGGCCUUGUUUUCCCAAUCUGAAUCACUUCUGGCUUUUCUGCUUCCAGCUCAGGAACACUUGCUAGGUUAACCUCUUCCACCUAGCAUUUAUAUUCUGGAAAUCCUCAAGUUUUGUGUUUGUUUUUUGAGGUGCUGAAGAUUAAACAUAGGGCCUCGAAGAUGCAAAGUCCACACUCUACCACUGAGCUACAUCACCAGGCCAAACACUCAAACACUGGGACUUCUGGGACUUCAGUGAUCAUUUAAUGACUCUCAUAUUCCCUGUAGAGCAAGCAUUUUGUGGUAUUGGGGAUUGAAUUGAGAGUCUUGCACUUGCUAGGCAAGGAUUCCACCACUGAGCCUUUUUCUUUCUUUCUUCCUUUUUUUUUAAUGUUUAUUUUUUAGUUGUAGUUGGACACAAUACCUUUAUUUUAUUUAUUUAUUUUUAUGUGGUGCUGAGGAUCCAACCCAGGGUCUCACAUGUGUUAGGCAAGCACUCUACUGUUGAGCCACGACCCCAACCCCUUUUUUUCUUUUCUUUUUGGCCCAGGCCAGCCUCAAAUUUAUGAUCAUCCAGCCUCAGCCUCCUGAAUAGCUGGAUUUACAGUCUGUCACUGCACCCAGCUACACCAUUAUUAAAGAGGAAAAUUGGGCUGGGGAUGUGGCUCAAGCGGUAGCGCGCUCGCCUGGCAUGCAUGAGGCCCAGGUUCGAUCCUCAGCACCACAUACAAAGAUGUUGUGUCCGCCCAAAAGUAACUAAAAAAUAAGUAUUAAAAUUCUCUCUCUCUCUCUCUCAAAAAAAA